ensembl:lncRNA
CCGCCGUGCGCGCCCGGCCGGGGCAGCGCCGCUCGCCGCGGCCGCCCGCGUCCCACCGGCGCGCAGCCUCGGCCGGCCCGGCUGCAAGCUCCGGGAGCUGCGCGCUGGGGCCUCCGGCGCGGGCGGAGCUCGGAACCCCAGGCUGGGCGCGCUGACGCGCGGGCUGGGGGCCGGGCGGCGGCCUCGGGGGCAGCUCCCGGCGCCGCCGCCGCCACAGCCACUGCGCGGGAGGGGGCUGGUUCCACCGGGCCCUCCGCCCGCCGCUCCCCGCCCCGCGCGCCGCCGGCCUCCGCGCAGGGGCGGUGUUGGCCCCCACCCGACGGCCGGGGGCGAAACGGUGGGGGGAGUGGCGGGCUGCGGGGAUCGGUCUGUGCCCUGGCCCGGUGUCGUCCUCGCCCUCCUCCCUCCCACAGCUACCGGGUCGUCCCCCUCCCCGGCCCUAUCCCGAGUGCGGCGUGGGUGGGGUAGGAGGGACAGCCCUCCCCUCUGCGGAGUGAGAACGCAGCCCCGGGGUGGAGGGAGGGAGUCCCACCCCCGCCCCUGCCCCCGCCCCCGCCCCACCUGCCUGGGAGCACUGCGGGGCUCUGGAGCUCCUCUCCGCUACCUCAAGGGCAGCAGGCUGUGGGCAGGGACGCUGCCACCCUCUCGUUUCCCCAACCCCUUCGUGGGCUGCGGGGGCUGCUCCCACCCUCCUCCAUAGUCACAGAGAGCGCAGCCGGGGUCAGAGGACCCAGGGGUCCCUCCUAGAGUGCGCGGGUCAGAGGACCCAGGAGACACUCAGUUUUUACUCUCUUGGGGCGCUGGAGGGGACCUCCCACCCUUCCUGCUCCCCACUCUGGGCAGGGGUUUGGCGUCCAGCCCGGCCUCCCCGCCGCGCAGCAGCGUUAGGGGCUCCCCCAUCCUCUCCACUUUCAGAGAGGCCGGGGCUCCCUGUGAGGGCGACCAGGCGCGGAAACGCGGGGGACCCUGGACUGGAGACCCGCGCGCUGUGGAAGGAAGCGGCAGCGGCAGCGGCUGCACAUGGACCCCCCCUCGCAGCUUGGGGCGCAGCCUCCCUCGCGCCCCGCACGCUCAGCCUCAGGCAUGCUUCGGAGGCGCCGGACGGGCCUAUCUUAUUAUCACAGGCUCAUAGAGGUGCCCGGUGGCUGGUCUUGGUCCUUGCCGGGCCCCUCUGCGGAGCAAGGAAGGCGGCGACCGGCGCUCAGAGAGGCGGUUGGGCGCGGGGGCAGGCGGGUCAGGAGAUGACCAGCUCUCAGGACUCAGCCUUUGUCAUCACCUAAGACCUCAGAACCUUCUCGAAUGGCCCCACUGUCCGGCCACCCGAGCUGUCGUGUCCCACUCACGGGCAGAGGGCAUGUAAGCUGGGUAGCUGUAUUACUGUGAGCACAGGCCCAGGCCGGGCACGGAGACCCAGGCGGGAUCCUCCCAGAGGUUUUCAUUUUAGCAACAGCCAGUGCCAACGGGGCCUACGGGUGAGGGCUCGGGAGCUGCACAGCUCACCCGCAGAUCUCAUAGAGACGGGAGGCAGGGAGGCAGCCGGGGAGACUGGACUCAGGGCCGUGUCUAGGACAUCAGGUCCAGCCCCACCAGGCUCCCUGGCCCCUGGACUUCCCUCCUUCUGGGGACCUGGGAAGGUUUGGGGGAGGAGGCAAUGGGUGGGAGGGGAGGAGGCAAUGGAUAGGAGGGGGUCCCCCGGGAGCCUCCUGUAGGUCCCAAGGCUCCCACCGGGGUCACCCUACCCUAGCAACAGAAAGACAUUCUCUUCCUUACAGAGUAUAUGGACUGCCGCCCCCACCCUGUCCUGCCUGCCCUCCACUCCAACGCCCUCCUGUGACUGUAACACAGGUAAUUUCAACUUCAGACCCUCCCACCAAUCCUCACUGGGCUGGAUGCUUUGCUAUGGACCUGAGGAUGUGAUUACGAUACUCCCAGAUUUUAGGUUUUUGAAGGUUCUGAGAGCAAGCUUCAAUGACAGACCACACUGAUGAGUCCGCGGUAUAAAUAUCCAGAGCCCAAUCCCUUCCAAGGAAACACGGUUGAGUGGGAAGCUGGACACGGUUUCUAUUGUGUUGGUUCUCCCUUCCUCCUGCUGUGCGCUUCGUGUUUCUGGGAUGGGCAGAGUUGCACAUUUCCAGUCCUUUCCUGUGCUAGAAACCGACUGAUUAUUUAUCUUCUCUCCAAUCCUUGCUUCUUCUCCACCCCUUGUAUUGAUAAAUGUUUGCCUUCACCCACUCAAGAAGGAAGAAAAAGUAAAUAAUCUGUAAUUUAGGUUUAUGCAAAGACAGCUGAAAAACUUGUGAGGAAAAGGAAAUGCUUAAUUACAGUCUCCUUCUUCCGAGUGGGGAAGCAGACCCUUUUGAAUAUCCAGUAUCUAUAUCAUAUAUAUGUUCUCUGGUAAAGGGAGUCUUAAGACUUUUAAGAAAUUUUGUUACAAUAUAAUGGCAUGGAGAUUAUUUUGUCCUUGAUCCUUUUGAGAUUUUUAAAUUCAUUCAUCCUUUCAUUAAUUCACUCAACAAGCAUUUUGUGACUACCAUGUGCUGAAUGAUGGGGGCAGGGUGUGGGGUGGGGGGAAGACAGGGACCCUAGGAACCUUGUAAUAGUUUCCAAUUUACUUUGAAAGGUAGGGCUACAAAAAGUGAAACAGGAACGAAAAUCAACAUUUCUAUCCUCCUUUUUUCCUAAACACUACGAUUUAAAUUUCAUCAUCAUAGACACAGGACUUAGAAGGAAAAUAAUAUUAAAAUCAGGAGUAUGUCAGGGCUUCUCUAAGGCUUUGCUAGAUUUUUGUUUUGCUUUGAUGCUUAUUUUUAUGGAGGCUUCAGUCAUUAUGUUUAAUACAAAAAAAAGUGAAACAGUGUGAUCAUUACAGUUGCUGUAUUCAUGUUUUGGAAUCAAUUGCACUAAUUAUGCCUUUUAAAAAGUUCCCCACAGUAGUUUCUAUUUUAAAAAGGAAAAGAAAAAGAAAAAAGAAACAAAACAGUAACUCACAAGCCAUAUGAAGUACAAUGAAAAAUGUCCUUUAGUACAAAGCCAGGAGCGUGAAAUAUGGACUCUUGCAGCUAAAGGGACCGCAAGGAGUCCUCUGGUUCAUUUUUGUGCCUCAGGGCUGCUGCUCCAACGGUAAGACGUGGAGAGCAAGGGGUUCUCCCAUAUAUUUACUCUGUAGCAAUUUAUUUGUGGUAAAAAGAAAUCAACCGGGGAAUCUCUUCUAACUGGGCCUGAGGGAGAAAAAAUAAAAAGCAAGCAUCAGGAAGCAGAAUUUGUUUUUUCCUGUAACGCUAGAGGGCAGCCGUCUAUCCUCAUAACCCCGCAAGCAAGGCUGGCUGUCUGGGUCUGUGACUUGUGCAGCUGGUUUAAGGUUCUCCAGUCACCACCCUUAAAUUCUUAAAAAUGUUUGAUCAAAGGGCUCUGCAUGUCCAUUUUGCCCAGGGCUCUGCAUAUUGGAGUGCCCAUCUGCUAGCUGGUCACAUGAAACAGCACUCCAGUCUGGGCCUGCAGACAGAGCCUAUGACAGGCCAGCCAAAGGACAAGGCCUCCUCUGCCUGGGAACUCAUGCCAUCUAUCCCCACCUAAUCUGGUCACCUCCCAUGGACUACAUACACACUAAGACACACUCAAUCGAUUAUAAAUCUAAGCAGUCACGCUGCAGGAUAGGUUUAUGCAUCAGUGGGUUUUGCGUUAAAAAUAACCCAUCUUCUAGCUCCUAUUUCAAAUCCAGUUAGAUUAGCUCAGUCAAUGAUGCUGUCAUGUUCCUCUCAACGUCCACAAGGCUCUGAUUGAUUAAAUCAAGGCAGCCCAGGCAAGUGCACCAAGGACAGAAGCGGACAUGCCCAGCCAACCCAGAGCACACUGUAGAGCUGAGCACAGUCUUUCCCUGUGUAUUCAUUUUCCUCUCUGGCAAAUACAUUACUAAAAUUUAUAUAAUAAAGUAUGAACGGUAUGUCAACAGAUUCAUUAUCACCAUGAAAUAUGCUUUGUGUACCCAGAUAACAUUUACAUUUUUAUUGAACCAGAGUCUGGGAAUACAGAAUCCACCCAACCCAAGCCAGUUUAUGGCUCUUAGAAGUCAAAUUAACUCUUACAGUUCAUUUAAGUACUUCUUUGCAGUUCAGUUUCCAAAGCAUCAACAAAAUGAUGCUGAUCAUAACAAUAUAUUCAUUUUCUUGUCCAUCCAGUGCUGAAUGAUCCCUACAUGCCUUUGAAAGACCCUACUUAAUUGGCUUAUAUGUAAAUUCGGUUUCCAGGGACAAUACCAGAAUCAGGAUUUCAAAAAAUCAUCUGAAAGAUCUGAUUUGGGGUGAGUUACUGAGAUUUUUGGCCCUUAACAUGUGCGAAGAUGGUCCUGGUGUGUCAGAACAGACCUUUCACAGAUGCCCACUGCCAUGGAGGAGUUUCCUCCUGGUAAUCUUUCAAAAUCCACUGACAUGCUGGAACGCUUUCCAUGAGUCCUGAGAGGAGUAAGAGUAGGUUAAUGACGAAUCGGUUUCCAGGACAUCUACAACCUUGUGAGAGAUAUCGAUUUCUCUGCUCUUGCCCAGAGAACGUGAGCUAAAAAGCAAUGACUCAUGCCGCUGUGGAGACUUGAGUUCAGGAUCAGUGGCGUAAAGAGGUGCAGAAGAGGGUCUUAUUUAGUAAGCGUAAAUGUGUAGUUCAGAUACCUUGGCUUUUAUUUUUAUACCCUUGUAUAAAAUUAAGUGUCCCUUAAAAUAGUCAUUAAGGAGUGACUUAAUGAUACUCUAAAAUUUUUUUUAAAAAUGUACAUCGAGGAACAGGAUAUGACCUCUAUGGAACAAUGCUGAGAUAUAGUUCAUGAAUAUUUUUGAGUAAUUUCACCUUUCUCAUUCAGUUCAACCAAUGUAUGAUUUUAAGCCACUUCACACAUUUUAAUUCAUGGGACUUUUUAAAAUUUGAAAAUAAAUCAAGUUCAUUUCUAGUCUCAUUCCACACUAUAGUGAAAUAAUUGUCAAUCUCUCAGAAUCACUUCCUUAAAAUACUGGAUUUUGUUCUAUCGCUGAUAUCAUCUGUCAUCCUUGGAGAAGUCACGUAAGAUCUCCAAGCUUCAGUUGAUUACUUUUGAAGUAAGAAAAUAAAAAAUGGACCAGUUAUGCUAAGACUCUUUCAAACAUGUUUGUGGUAAAGGAAUGGAUUUUAAUCAAUAUUUUUAGAUUGAAAGAAAAAAAAUUGUUUGCAUUCAAUUAAAAAUAUAUAAAUAUAAUACAAUUGAACUGUACCAAGAAGGUUGUUGAAUUUUGUCUAAUAGUUUAAUAAAAAGUACUAUUUCCUUUGAUAUAAAGCAACAAAAACAUGUAUUAGUGGUGUGUAAUGACAAUUAGUAAACGCCCACAAAUCUUACUUUUAUAUUAACGUGGUCUGUUCCCUCACUAAGAGGUAAGUUCUGUCAAAGCAAAAGAUUUUGUUUCUUUUGUUUAUGAUGUUUUUAUUACCUGAAAUUUGCAAAAACACAUAGUAAGUGCUUAAUAAGUAUGUGCUGGAUUAAUGGAUGAAUAAAUCAAGAAAGACACAGACAACUUCAUUCUUUUAAAAACUGAGUUCAAUUGAUGAAUAAUGGCAAUAGAUUAAGCAAAAUUUCAUUUGACAAAAAUACUUCCAGGUCUCAAAGAGGUUGUCUUUAUAUGUCUACCAUUAUUACCGUAUUAAACAGUACCCUCCACUACGUCUUUAAAAUCCUCACAGUGUUUUCACAUUUUAAACUGGCAAGAAUUUUAUGAAAGACUGAACACCGAUUGCUACCAAUUCCACUUGGUCAACCGAGCAAAGGAUAACAGUACAUAUAAGGUGAGAUACUAAAGAAAUAAUCAUAAAAUAAAUCUGUUCAGGAAAGAGAUUAUCUGGAGAAAAUACCAUUGAGGUUGGUUUUUUUUUAUCAAGAGAAAAUGGCAUCUGGUACUGUGAGUUCCCAGUAACAAAUCCUGG